AAUCUAAGCCCACAGUGGUUUUUCAAAGGCAAUGCCUAUUCAUUGCACAAUUGAUAUGUUGACUCUUAUGAUUGCACUGAAUAUAGUAAACCAGCUGCAUAAUUUGGGGUACUGGGGAACUAUAUUCCUGUUCCCCA
rnacentral:snRNA from 14 species